CUGUCUGUUAAAGGUAGCAGGUUGUACAUGGCGAGCGGGUUACUCACUGAGGACUGGUGAUUGGUGUAAUGGAAGCCGUCUCUGAACCGCAUUUAAUGACGGAGAAUUACAGAAUUGGAGAGAAAACGCAGCACUGAGCAACUUGUAGACUUAACACCCGACUGUAGAAUCCCUUCUAUUGUGUGCUGGAAGAUCGCUGGACUUGAAGCAACUCCAAAUGGUGGCCUGUUUGUCCAAAGCCCAGGCUGACCCCCCACCCCUUCAACCUUUGCAGCAAUGCUGGCAGCACUAUUUCCCAAAGACAACCUCUGGAUAUGACGCUGAGCACGUGCAAUCAACUUCUUCUUUGGUCGACCAUGGCGAGGCCUGUUCUGAGUGGAACCUGUCCUGUUAAACCGCUGUAUGGUCUUGGCCACCGUGCUGCAGCUCAGUGUCAGGGUCUUCGUAAUCUUCUUAAAGCCUAGGCCAUUUUUAUGUAGAGCAAGAAUUCUUUUUUUUCACAUCCUCAGAGAGUUCUUUGCCUUGAGGUGCCAUGUCGAACUUCCAGUGACCAGUAUGAGGGAGUGUGAGAGUGAUGACACCAAAUUUUACACACCUGCUCCCCAUUCACACCUGAGACCUUGUAACACUAACAAGUCACAUGACACCGGGGAGGGAAAAUGGCUAAUUGGGCCCGAUUUGGACAUUUUUACUUGGGGGUGUACUCACUUUUGUUGCCAGCGGUUUAGACAUUGUGUGUUGAGUUAUUUUGAGGGGACAGCAAAUUUACACUGCUACACAAGCUGUACACUCACUACUUUACACUGUAGCAAAGUGUCAUUUCUUCAGUGUUGUCACAUGAAAAGAUAUCAUCAAAUAUUUACAAAAAUGUGAGGGGAGUUCUCACUUUAUUGUGAAAUACUGUACAUCUUUUUAUUUACUUUAAUAUUUAUUCAUAGUGUGUGUGUGUUUGUUUUUAUAUAUAUAAAAUAGAUAGAGCGAGCGAGCAACGGUAGCGUGUCUGACUCCAGAUCAGAAGGUUGCGUGUUCAAAUCACGUCGGGGUCAUUCAAUGCACUGGAGUGAGAUCUAC